GACGAACGCUGGCGGCGUGCCUAAUACAUGCAAGUCGAGCGGAGUUAUGAUGGAGCUUGCUCCUGAUUAACUUAGCGGCGGACGGGUGAGUAACACGUAGGCAACCUGCCCACAAGAUCGGGAUAACAGUCGGAAACGAAUGCUAAGACUGGAUAAGCAGCCUUCUCGCACGAGAGGGCUGGGAAAGACGGAGCAAUCUGUCACUUGUGGAUGGGCCUGCGGCGCAUUAGCUAGUUGGUGAGGUAACGGCCCACCAAGGCGACGAUGCGUAGCCGACCUGAGAGGGUGAACGGCCACACUGGGACUGAGACACGGCCCAGACUCCUACGGGAGGCAGCAGUAGGGAAUCUUCCACAAUGGGCGAAAGCCUGAUGGAGCAACGCCGCGUGAGUGAGGAAGGCCUUCGGGUCGUAAAGCUCUGUUGCCAGGGAAGAAUAAGGUCAUGUUCACUGCAUGAUCGAUGACGGUACCUGAGAAGAAAGCCCCGGCUAACUACGUGCCAGCAGCCGCGGUAAUACGUAGGGGGCAAGCGUUGUCCGGAAUUAUUGGGCGUAAAGCGCGCGCAGGCGGUUCUUUAAGUCUGGUGUCUAAGUGCGGGGCUCAACCCCGUGAUGCACUGGAAACUGGAGGACUUGAGUGCAGAAGAGGAGAGCGGAAUUCCACGUGUAGCGGUGAAAUGCGUAGAGAUGUGGAGGAACACCAGUGGCGAAGGCGGCUCUCUGGACUGUAACUGACGCUGAGGCGCGAAAGCGUGGGGAGCAAACAGGAUUAGAUACCCUGGUAGUCCACGCCGUAAACGAUGAGUGCUAGGUGUUGGGGGGGUCCACCCCUCGGUGCCGAAGUUAACACAUUAAGCACUCCGCCUGGGGAGUACGGUCGCAAGACUG
rnacentral:rRNA from 1 species